rnacentral:rRNA from 1 species
AGGACGAACGCUGGCGGCGUGCUUAACACAUGCAAGUCGAGCGGAAAGGCCCUUCGGGGUACUCGGGCGGCGAACGGGUGAGUAACACGUGAGUAACCUGCCCCAUGCUUUGGGAUAACCCUCGGAAACGGGGGCUAAUACCGAAUAUUCACUGUCUGCCGCAUGGUGGAGGGUGGAAAGUUUUUCGGCGUGGGAUGGGCUCGCGGCCUAUCAGCUUGUUGGUGGGGUAAUGGCCUACCAAGGCGAGGACGGGUAG